rnacentral:rRNA from 1 species
CACGUAGGGCGCAAGCGUUGUCCGGAAUUAUUGGGCGUAAAGAGCUCGUAGGUGGUUCGGUAAGUCGGAUGUGAAAUCUCCAGGCUCAACCUGGAGGGGUCAUUCGAUACUGCCGUGACUAGAGUUCGGUAGAGGAGUGUGGAAUUCCUGGUGUAGCGGUGAAAUGCGCAGAUAUCCGGAGGAACACCGGUGGCGAAGGCGGCUUCCUGGACCGACACUGACGCUGAGGCGCGAAAGCUAGGGGAGCAAACGGG